rnacentral:snoRNA from 15 species
CUAUCAGUAGGGUGAUCCUUACCUGUUGUCUCUUAAAUGAGACACAGAUUAAGGAUACACAUGAUGAUCCGAGAGUAUGACUAUUCCAUGAAUUAAAACUCUCGCAUAGCAGAGCCGGCGACGACUUUGUUAUGGUUGCUGAC